AUGAGGAAAGAGUUAUUUAUUGGCCUAAGUGUUAGCAGUGUGACGACAGAUAAGCUUAUAUUUGGAAGUGGGACCACGCUUACAGUUGAACCAGACAGUACAAAAAGUUCUGACCCAGAAGUCAUUGUGAUGAAAUCAAAGAAACUGAAUGAAGAUGGCAGCACUGGGAAAGCAGCUUGUUUGGCAAGGAAUUUCAAUACAAAGAACAUCAUCUUGAACAUGCCCUCUGAUGACAUCGUAUAUCAACAGAAGACACCGAUUUUGACUUCAAAGUGGUCGUACAAUACUAUUAAGGUGGUCAAAGUGACAAACAAAACAGAGGUGACCUGCGUUGCAAAAUCCGACAACAACAUUAUUGGAAAUGACACAGCACGGCCAGAAAAGGAAUCUGAAGAACCAGUAAGAGGAGAGGUUUGCAACAUCACAGACACCCCUGCGCAAGAUACCAAAGUGGAGAAAGCAAACAUGCUGUCUAUGGCUGUGUUGGGUUUGAGAAUCCUGCUGGCAAAAAGUAUCGCCUUCAAUACACUCAUGAGUAUCAAGUUGUUUCUUUUCUGAGGCAAUGGGGAAGCAAACCAACAGCAACCUGAAGAACAGCAAGAGAGCGUGUACAAGCAGCUCAAUGGGUUGAGCAGCCAAUGUCAAAUCUGCUGACAAUAACCAUCCAGAACUCCACCAGCUCCUUCCCCUUAAGACAUUUUAUACUAUUGAAUCCUGUCCAGCUGGUUUAUGUAGUAGAAGUUGUAACGGGUUUUGAUAUUUCUUCUUCUCUGUGAACCGAGAGUGCAUUUUUCCUCAUCCCCCUGCGAAGUAGAAAUUGUUCUCCCCACUCUUCUAGCCUUUGCAUAGAAGUAUCCAACCUGCUCCAAUUGUUCUGAAAAAUCCAAACCUCGCUAUAGAUGUAUGUCCCUUUUAAGACACCCUUUAAAGGCAUAUUGCAUUACUCUCUAUAGAACUGAUAUAUUACUGCUUAGAGGAUUCAGGCACAGUAAAUGCUAUUUAUAAAUGGUUUAAUGCUCUAAAUGCUUUAAUUUUCUUUUUAGAUAGCUUUAAUAACAAUAAUUUUGUAGUGUAGAUGCGAAGACCUGUGUUGGAUCUGAAGUGAUUCACCUGAGCCAGAUAAUGUUCAACCAUAGAAACAUUUGCAUUUCUGUGUUAAACCUGAAUGUCUUCUGCAAAGUGUAUGGCGCCUACAUUUUAGGGUACUGUAGUAGUGAUCAAAAUAAAGU